rnacentral:tRNA from 1 species
AUCUCUGUGGCUCAGUUGGUAGAGCAUGGUGUUUGCAAUGCCAGGGUUGUGGGUUUGAUUCCCACAGGGGACC